rnacentral:rRNA from 1 species
AUGAACGCUGGCGGCGUGCCUAAUACAUGCAAGUCGAGCGAACAGAUGAGGAGCUUGCUCCUCUGACGUUAGCGGCGGACGGGUGAGUAACACGUGGAUAACCUACCUAUAAGACUGGGAUAACUUCGGGAAACCGGAGCUAAUACCGGAUAAUAUAUUGAACCGCAUGGUUCAAUAGUGAAAGACGGUUUUGCUGUCACUUAUAGAUGGAUCCGCGCCGCAUUAGCUAGUUGGUAAGGUAACGGCUUACCAAGGCAACGAUGCGUAGCCGACCUGAGAGGGUGAUCGGCCACACUGGAACUGAGACACGGUCCAGACUCCUACGGUAGGCAGCAGUAGGGAAUCUUCCGCAAUGGGCGAAAGCCUGACGGAGCAACGCCGCGUGAGUGAUGAAGGUCUUCGGAUCGUAAAACUCUGUAAUUAGGGAAGAACAAAUGUGUAAGUAACUAUGCACGUCUUGACGGUACCUAAUCAGAAAGCCACGGCUAACUACGUG